rnacentral:rRNA from 1 species
UACGUAGGGCGCAAGCGUUAUCCGGAAUUAUUGGGCGUAAAGAGCUCGUAGGCGGUUUGUCGCGUCUGCCGUGAAAGUCCGGGGCUCAACCCCGGGCCUGCAGUGGGUACGGGCAGACUAGAGUGUGGUAGGGGAGACUGGAAUUCCUGGUGUAGCGGUGAAAUGCGCAGAUAUCAGGAGGAACACCGGUGGCGAAGGCGGGUCUCUGGGCCAUAACUGACGCUGAGGAGCGAAAGCGUGGGGAGCGAACAGG